CAGAGUUCGUGCCCUCACGGGUAGAUCUCCCCACCCUUGUGUAUCUCCGUAUUCUUGUUGCUUUGGCAGGCCGCUGGGCUUCGGCCUGGCCACCGGCUCUGGGGCUGGUGCGCGCCUGCCAGAGGACCUCUCAAACUCGGUUUGUUACUGUCGUCUGAGUACUAUAACAAUCGUUA
rnacentral:misc_RNA from 2 species